UAAUCAAAUGUGUCUAAGAAUCGUUGGUUUUUAGUAACACAUACUCCUCCUCUAAAGUAAUUCAACUAAAUAAUCAAAUACUUGAAGAUGAGUCGUCGAACAGCGUCGUGGCAGCCCAACGUCCCAGAUUUUGAUGAGGUCGCGGCUCGCGUAGAUGCUCUCACACGAAACUGAUCUUUCUUCUUCAGUUACCAUUCGUGUCUGUGUAUCUGAAUGAUUUCUUUGUAAACCGAAAGUGAUGAUUCAAAAAAAGCUUAGUUUUAUUUUAUUUAAAAAAAAAAAAGAAGUUAAAAAUACCCCCAGCGAUCCCUAGAUCUGCACGAAGAACCCUAACAAUUGACGAAUUCAACUAGUUUUUUUCUCGAGCAUAAGAUCGAUGGAGGAUUCAGAGAUUGAUCAUGUGAUGAGCGAGAUUCAUCUGGGUUGCCCACCCGCCACUAUCGGACCCUUUCUUUCCCACUUCACCUUCUCUUCUUAUCCACUACUCGAUUCCUCCAAUGAUCAGUCGAUGACUAUUAGUGUUGAUAAAGAUGGUGACCUUCUUCUUCCUAGGCGGCGGCGAAGAACCAGCCCAACCUCUCACUCUCAUGGGUCGUUUACUGUCACCAUUCAGCAUUCUAUCACAUCAACUCUCCCUGAUGUUGGUCUGCAGGUCUGGAAAUCAGAACUCGUCUUAUCAGAUUUUGUAUUGCAUAACAUGUCUCUACUCAAUGGCCUUGUGUGCCUUGAACUCGGUGCUGGAACAGGGCUGCUCGGUAUAUUGCUUGCACGGGUGGCCAAGGCUGUUUUCCUUACUGACCACGGAGACCAAAUUCUUGGCAACUGUCUUCGGAACAUGGAAUUGAAUUCUUCCCUCUUUCACCCUCAAGCUAUUGUAAAUGUUCGUGACCUCAACUGGAUGAGCGAAUGGCCUGUUGAAGUUACCCAUGCUGAUCCAAAACCGUUUUGUUGGAGCUUGCAGGACUUUGAACAAGUCAAAAGUGCUAGCUUCAUUUUUGCAGCAGAUGUGAUCUACAGCGAUGAUCUAACCAUCGCCUUGUUCAGCAUGUUAAAGAGAGUCAUGUCCUUGGGUUGUGACAAGGUACUAUAUCUGGGUUUGGAGAAAAGAUACAACUUCAGCCUAGACGAUCUCAACGUUGUUGCCAAUGGCUACGCAUGCUUCAGAAGAUAUAUCAAAGAAGACGCCCUUUGCGACCAUUCUGACAAGAAGAGUAGUUUUGUGGGCAAGCGCAUUGACCUCAAACAAAUCCCUCAGUACACCAAGGGCUACGAGAGAGGAGAAGAUGUCGAGCUUUGGGAGAUCAGAUAUGUACGUUAACACUCUAAUGAAGGAAGGAUCCAUCAUUUCAUUUGCUUGUAACAACAACAGUUCAGAAAGAGGCACCACCUUAAGUGGGAUUCUCUGACGUCAGCUGCCUCACCAUAUGCUUUGUCAGUGUCCGUCCAUCUUAGUAGUUUCCUCCGCUUGUUCUUUUGAGACGGGAAGUACAACUUCUUCAUCUUCCAAAACCUGCAACUAGGGGAAGAGUAAAAUAUAAACAUAAAUUAAAGGAUGUACAAGUUGUAUACUUGGAUUGGAACCUGGAGUUUCAGAUUCCGAUAUAAAGAAAGCUUAUAGAAGGCUGUCCAUCCAAUACCAUCCUGAUAAAAAUCCAGAUCAAGAGGCCAACAAAUAUUUUUGUGGAGUCCAUUUCUAAAGCAUACCAGGCUUUG